UACGGAGGGUGCAAGCGUUAAUCAGAAUUACUGGGCGUAAAGCGCACGCAGGCGGUUUGUUAAGUCAGAUGUGAAAUCCCCGCGCUUAACGUGGGAACUGCAUUUGAAACUGGCAAGCUAGAGUCUUGUAGAGGGGGGUAGAAUUCCAGGUGUAGCGGUGAAAUGCGUAGAGAUCUGGAGGAAUACCGGUGGCGAAGGCGGCCCCCUGGACAAAGACUGACGCUCAGGUGCGAAAGCGUGGGGAGCAAACAGG
rnacentral:rRNA from 1 species